GUAUAGUGAUGCUCACCAAAACAAGGGCAAGAAACAAACCUCUGCUUAUAUGGAGAUUUAAAUAGAGCCUUCGGAACCACCUCAAUGGCAAAAUGCUUGAACUUUUUUCCCUGAUCCUUCCAUUUGAAAGAGAAUGCUCCUUCCUCUGACCCUCUGGCAAGCAUGUCCAAUCUUUGAUGGUGCAGCAGGAUGUUGUCAUCUACAAAGGUCACACUGGAGAACUGGAAACCAAUUAUAAGCAACCAAGUUACAAGAAAAGAAUACCUAAAAAGUUCUCAAAAGGCUAUAGGUCACUCUAUAGUUUUGUAUUGGAGCAUGUCAGCUGUUAUAGAGAGUGUGAUCCCUUCAGUCUAUGAAUUAAACAAUCAUAUUGAAGCUUUCA